GGGAUGAAGUGUCCGGAGGGAGGCCUGGGAAUGUGGGCUGGGCCCGGAUGCCGGGGUCACCUGGCAGGAGCGGGCGGGUCGGAGGGGCGGACCCGUGUGUGCAGGCGUGUCCUGUGCGCGGUCGGGGCGAGUGAGAUGGUACCGGCGGAGGCGGUGGGCGCUGAAGCCGGGCGAGGGAGCAGAGUUGAAGUGUCAGGGCGGCCCGGACGGAGCGAGGGGCCUGAAAACGAUGCCGCGGUGGAGACGGCGGAGGAGGCCAAGGAGCCUGCGGAGGCUGACAUCACUGAGCUCUGCCGGGACAUGUUCUCCAAGAUGGCAACUUACCUGACUGGGGAACUGACAGCCACCAGCGAAGACUAUAAGCUCCUGGAAAAUAUGAAUAAAUUAACCAGCCUGAAGUAUCUUGAAAUGAAAGAUAUUGCUAUAAACAUUAGUAGAAACUUAAAGGACUUAAACCAGAAGUAUGCUGAACUACAGCCUUAUCUGGAUCAAAUCAAUGUAAUUGAGGAGCAAGUAGCAGCUCUUGAACAGGCAGCCUACAAAUUGGAUGCAUAUUCCAAAAAACUGGAGGAGGAAACUGGUUGAAGAGGAUAAAUAGCUUAUAAGGAUACAAAGCUAGUAUGUGGAAGAGCUGUAUUCCAAACCAGAAGCCAAGUACAAGAAGCUGGAGAAGCGAUGAAAAACUUAUUCCUGUGGAACAAAGUCUUUUUUUAAUGUGGAAGAAUGAGACCUGAAUCCUGAGGCUGAUGAAUUGUCACAACUCCUCAAAAGGAAACCAUGCUGGCCGUCCCAGAAACAUCCCGCCAUUGGAGUAAACUGGAGAACCGUGGCUACUCCUGAAUUUCUCUUGGGGCAGCAUCCCUCAGAAACGCACACUUAUCACCCCCUACCUUUUACUUGAAUGUUUAAUUAUCCAUUUAGGACACCAAGUCUCUCAAAGUUCAGGAUAAACCUGGGCUUUUCAGUCGAAUCAAAUGAGAGGGCUUAUUUUCUAAGUGGCUGGAUUUUGAGUUACUGUGUAAAUGGUUUUUUUUUUUUUUUUAUUGAGCUAAUGUAUUGCUAACAAGAAUCUAAAUUUAAAAAGGAAAAUAAAACAAACUUCUUCA